AGAGUUUGAUCCUGGCUCAGGACGAACGCUGGCGGCGUGCUUAACACAUGCAAGUCGAACGGUGACGCUGGAGCUUGCUCCAGCUGAUCAGUGGCGAACGGGUGAGUAACACGUGAGCAACCUGCCCUUGACUCUGGGAUAACCCCGGGAAACCGGAGCUAAUACCGGAUACGAACCGCACAGGCAUCUGAGCGGUUGGAAAGAUUUAUCGGUCAAGGAUGGGCUCGCGGCCUAUCAGCUUGUUGGUGGGGUAACGGCCCACCAAGGCGACGACGGGUAGCCGGCCUGAGAGGGCGACCGGCCACACUGGGACUGAGACACGGCCCAGACUCCUACGGGAGGCAGCAGUGGGGAAUAUUGCACAAUGGGCGAAAGCCUGAUGCAGCGACGCCGCGUGAGGGACGAAGGCCUUCGGGUUGUAAACCUCUUUCAGCAGGGAAGAAGCGAAAGUGACGGUACCUGCAGAAGAAGCACCGGCUAACUACGUGCCAGCAGCCGCGGUAAUACGUAGGGUGCAAGCGUUGUCCGGAAUUAUUGGGCGUAAAGAGCUCGUAGGCGGUCUGUCGCGUCUGCUGUGAAAACCUAGGGCUUAACCCUGGGCCUGCAGUGGGUACGGGGCAGACUAGAGUGCGGUAGGGGAGACUGGAAUUCCUGGUGUAGCGGUGAAAUGCGCAGAUAUCAGGAGGAACACCGGUGGCGAAGGCGGGUCUCUGGGCCGUAACUGACGCUGAGGAGCGAAAGCAUGGGUAGCGAACAGGAUUAGAUACCCUAGUAGUCC
rnacentral:rRNA from 1 species